ensembl:snRNA Gm25881 U6 spliceosomal RNA
UUGCUUUAGGGGCGCAUGCGCUGAAGUUGGAAUGCUACAGGGAGGACCAGCAAGGCCCGUGUGCAAGGAUGACGUACGAACUCUGAAGUGUCCUUGUUCUCU